GUUGACGCUGGCGGCAGGCCUAACACAUGCAAGUCGAACGAGUGGCGGACGGGUGAGUAAUGUCUGGGAACCUGCCUGAUGGCGGGGGAUAACUACUGGAACCGGUAGCUAAUACCGCAUACCUUCCGAUGUGCCCAGAUGGGAUUAGCUAGUAGGUGGGGGAUAGGCUCACCUAGGACACGAUCCCUAGCUGGUCUGAGAGGAUGACCAGCCACACUGGAACUGAGACACGGUCCAGACUCCUACGGGAGGCAGCAGUGGGGAAUAUUGCACAAUGGGCGAAAGCCUGAUGCAGCCAGGCCGCGUGAGUGAAGAAGGUCUUCGGGUUGUAAAGCACUGUCAGCGAGGAGGCGUUACUCAAAGAGGAAGCACCGGCUAACUCCGUGCCAGCAGCCGCGGUAAUAC
rnacentral:rRNA from 1 species